rnacentral:lncRNA from 1 species
UACUGACCAUCAAGUGCCUCCUGAUCCACCCCAACCCGGAGUCAGCCCUGAACGAGGAGGCCGGACGCCUCCUGCUGGAGAACUAUGAGGAGUACGCGGCCCGAGCCCGGCUGCUGACCGAGAUCCACGCCCGAGGCCCCGCCCCCUCCGCAAGCUCCGCCCCCUCCACCUCGGCCCCGCCCCCUAACCCCCCCCCCCCCCCCCCCCCCCCCCCCGACGGACCCCAGCCCAAGAAGCACGCGGGGGACAGGGAGAAGAAACCUGCCCCCCCCCCCAAGAAGAAGGUGGAUAAGAAAAGGGCCCUAAGGAGGCUUUAAAUAGGGGGGGGGGGCCAUAAAUGUACCCCCAUUUGGGGUGUAAAUACCCCCAUUUGGGGUGUAAAUACCCCCCCUUGGGGUUAAAUACCCCCCUUGGGGUUUAAAUGCCCCCACAUGGGGUUUCAGUGCCCCCCCCCCCAUUGGGGUUUAAACACCUCCCAUUGGGAUUUCAAUGCCCCCCUUUGGGGUUUCAAUGCCCCCCCCUUUGGGUGUAAAUACCCCCCCCACUGGGGUUUAAAUACCCCCCCAUUGGGGUAUCAGUGCCCCCCCAUUGGGGUUUAAAUACCCCCCCUUUGGGAUUUAAAUACCCUCCCCCAUUGGGGUUUAAGUACCCCCCCAUUGGGGUUUCAGUGCCCCCCCUUUGGGGUUUAAACACCCCCCCCAUUUGGGGUUUAAGUACCCCCCUAUGGGCAAUGGGGGGGGGGAAAUACCCCAUGGAGAGCCUCAAAUCCCCCCCCCAUCAGUUUCCCUGUGGGGCUGUGGAUACCCCCGGGGGGGGGAAUCAAAUACCCCCUUUGGUGUCUGAAAUACCCCCCUGGAGGCUUUAAUUGCCCCAAAUAUCCCCUUGGGGGCAUUAAAUACCCCAUUGGGGCCCCAAAUACCCCCUUGGGGGCAUUAAAUACCCCAUUGGGACCCCAAAUACCCCCUUGGGGGCAUUAAAUACCCCAUUCAGGUCCCAAAUACCCCCUUGGGGGCAUUAAAUACCCCAUUCAGGUCCCAAAUACCCCCUUGGGGGCAUUAAAUACCCCAUUCAGGUCCCAAAUACCCCCUUGGGGGCAUCAAAUACCCCCUUGGGGGCAUCAAAUACCCCAUUGGGACCCCAAAUACCCCAUUGGGGGCAAAUACCCCAAGGGGGGGACCCCAAUAUCCCUGUUUUUGGGGGGGGGGGUUGGAAUAAAUGGUCCCUAUGAGCUCCCACCUCCAGCUUUGGCUUUUUGGGCUGUUUUUGGGGGGUUUUGGUUAAUUUUGGGGGGGGAGACCCCUCCCCCCUUUCCUCUCGCUUUAAGUUAUUUAAGUUAUACAAACAGCCCCAAAAAAGGGGGAAAUUGCCCCAAAAUCUUCCCCCCCCCCCCCCAUUAAAAGGCUUUGGGUUUUGUAGUCCCCGGAUGUUGUCCUUCACCGCGGGGCAUGAUGGGAGUUGGAGUUCUCACACCCCUCCCCCAUUGAGUUCAAUGGGAGGUCACGUGGGGGGGAGGGGAGGGGGGG